AAUUCUAGAGACAUGAGUGUGGCUUUAUUUUUUUGACCCAUUCUUUUCUUCUUUCAAUUUUCGGACCACACCCACCCUACAAGCUCUCUUCCUCCAUUUUCUUCUUUCUCUCUCUAUCUCUCUCUAUCUCUCUCUUCCUUCCCUCUAAAAUUUGUUCAUGCUAGAGAUGAUUCGGUUUAGGCCAUAGUUGGCAAAUUGUAAAAUAUUGCAAGGACUACGUCUUGGUACCGGUAUUGUAAGCUUUUGGUGGGAUUUGAGUUUGGAGCUUGGAGCUAGAGCUUACUAAGGACUUGAUUGGUUGCUAUCUUGAGUUUCAGGUACCAAGGAUGCUUGAGGAUUUUCAGCUGCGGGCUAAGGUGGAAGAGUUGGUGUUGAGGAAUUAUUUUAUUUAGAGAUUUUUAUGUAUAUUUGAGGAAAUUGAUUUAGUAUAAAAGAAGGCAUUUUUUUGUGAUCCGGGUGUAUUUUAGAUUCGGGCUUAGGCUGAAGAGUUGGCGUUACAGGAUUUAUUUUAUUUAUUUGGAGAUUUUUUUGUGUAUUUGAGGAAAUUUGAUUGAUUUUGUAUCAAUAAAGGAUAUUUUAUUUCUUUUGA